CGCCCGCCGGGGGCCUACGGGAGGCAGCAGUGGGGAAUAUUGCACAAUGGGCGCAAGCCUGAUGCAGCCAUGCCGCGUGUAUGAAGAAGGCCUUCGGGUUGUAAAGUACUUUCAGCGGGGAGGAAGGGAGUAAAGUUAAUACCUUUGCUCAUUGACGUUACCCGCAGAAGAAGCACCGGCUAACUCCGUGCCAGCAGCCGCGGU
rnacentral:rRNA from 1 species